GCUGGCGGCGUGCCUAAUACAUGCAAGUCGAGCGGGUUUACCCUUCGGGGUAAGCUAGCGGCGGACGGGUGAGUAACACGUAGGUAACCUGCCUAUAAGAUCGGGAUAACUAUCGGAAACGAUAGCUAAGACCGGAUAACUGGUUUUCUCGCAUGAGAGAACUAUGAAACACGGAGCAAUCUGUGGCUUAUAGAUGGGCCUGCGGCGCAUUAGCUAGUUGGUAGGGUAACGGCCUACCAAGGCGACGAUGCGUAGCCGACCUGAGAGGGUGAACGGCCACACUGGGACUGAGACACGGCCCAGACUCCUACGGGAGGCAGCAGUAGGGAAUCUUCCGCAAUGGACGCAAGUCUGACGGAGCAACGCCGCGUGAGUGAUGAAGGUUUUCGGAUCGUAAAGCUCUGUUGCCCUAGACGAACAGCAAGGAGAGUAACUGCUCUUUGUGUGACGGUAUAGGAGAAGAAAGCCCCGGCUAACUACGUGCCAGCAGCCGCGGUAAUACGUAGGGGGCAAGCGUUGUCCGGAAUUAUUGGGCGUAAAGCGCGCGCAGGCGGCCAAUUAAG
rnacentral:rRNA from 1 species